CAUGUGUACUGGGCUCUGAUUGCUCUUUAAGGGACAGACUUUGGAAAAGACUCUGACUUAAAAGGGGUUUUUGAUCAGACCUUAAAAGGCCCCUUCCUGCAAUAUACCACAGGCUUCCUCCUUUGUCCAUCAAGCAAGAAAAUGCCAACAACUUAUAGUUAAAUAUUUAUGAAAUGACUAUCACCAUACUUUAAAUUUCCAAAAAACAGAAUAUGAAAUUUUACAUCUGAAGUAUGCAAACUAUCUGAUUUCACAGUUUAUGAUAAAACAAACAAAAAUAUCAUUCAUUCCUAAAACAUAGGACUUCUUAUACUAGGGGCUAGAUUGUGGCUGGGACUUGUGGAGGGCAUAACAUCCAAAAAGCCUCCCCUAACAUACCUUACUGGAUCCAUUUCAUUCAUGCACCCAAUGGGGAAACAGAUAGGAAUAAAAGAUAGUGUCAUGACACUCUCUGCCGCCUCGGAGUGAGCAGUCUGGGCACUAGGCUUGCAAUGAUACCAAAAGAGCCUGGUGAUGGAGAAGAAAGCUGACUGCAAGUUGUUUUCCUUGAAAAUCCUGCCCGUGGAGAGAAAAAAGCCAGCUACUUGGUCACAUCUCUGAGUUGCUUGCUAAGCAAGAUGUUGGGAGAUGCAGGCUUUUCACUCAUUUCCCUAAAAACUUACUGAUGGAGAAAGAGAACACCACAAUAAAAAUGUGUGAUUUUGUGCACAGUA